CUCACCUAUUAACAAAGGAUCUCAUUUUAAAUCAAAAUUGUGGAUGCCCAGUAGGUGCUUGGCUGAUGGAGAGUGUUGCACUGCUGCUUAUUUAAUGGAAAACAGCAGGAAGGAAAUAGAGCGGGUUGUGUGUCAUCAUGCACGCAGUCUGCCUUCCAUUGGCGUGCGAGUACUUGCAUUUGGAUCGCCCAAUUGUGUGUGCACAGCAGGGGACCAUGCGCUGGAACAUCGGAUUCAACCUACUCACAAGUUGAAGAGAAGGUUACGUAUGCUUUUUAAUUUUUGAACAAUCAGUACUGCACCAGCGGUAAUCUACAGGGAAGGCAAGGAUAACUAGAUUAAACAUUUCACAAGAUCCUCCCAAUUAUAGGCACAAUCUCCUUUUCAAGAUAUUACGAGUGGUUGACUACCGGAGAUUAUCAGAUGGAAAGAUGGUUGUAUGAUCUUCGAGGCUGCUGCUUCUUUGUUAUGUCGAUCGAGGCUCCCUUUCUCGCUAGCUACUGCAUGAUCUUUGUUAAUACUAGGUCGUACGACCUAUAAAUUCUCACCGGCGAGUUGGAAGGGUGGUGAGAAUUUAUAGGUCGUUGUUUGUUUAAUGCCAUAAUCUUAGGGCUUUUUCUGAAUUCUCUAGAAUGUUGGAACAGCCUUGCUGUUUCAGUUUACAUCUGCAUGGUCAGUGGGGAUGAAGUUCUUUUGGAUUAAUGCUUCUGCCCUGACGAUUUCCUUCCCUUUUAUCUCGCAGGCUGUAUGAUCUGUGCAGGUUGCUGCUUGUUUGUUCUGUCAGUGGAGGUCACCGCCGUGUCUCCCGCCGGUCCGCGACAUAGCUUGCAAUCUAGGUUGUUGCCAAGUUAACUUGGGAUUGGUAACCUACAAUGUAUCAUGUGAAGGUGGGAUUACAUUCUAUACUCUUGAAACUAUGUACUCCCUCCGUUCCUAAAUAUUUGUCUUUCUAGAGAUUUCAACAAGUGACUACAUACGGAGCAAAAUGAGUGAAUCUACACUCUAAUAUAUGUCUAUAUACAUCCGUAUAUGGUAACCAUUUGAAAUCCCUAAAAAGACAAAUAUUUAGGAACGGAGGGAGUAGAAUUUUGUAUGUACAUUGUUCACUUCAGCAAAAUAGAGAUCCCCUAACUAGCAUAUAAAUGUUGGCUAUGAUCGCACUUUUCUACAUUGUCAUAUUUGUAGAUAUGCUGUGUGAUGGAGUAUCAACUAGCUACCUUUGGUCGCACUUAGUAUAAAAGUCUCAAUUGUGGUGAUUU